CUGUGACAGAUUAGAUUGCUUUAAAUCUCUCUCUUGAAUUAUUUUAUUAAUGUGUUCCAAUAGCACAGUCAGUUCCUUAAUAUGAUAUCGAAGGAUCUUCUUAAGAUUCUCUUUUAUUAUGCUUUAUUAUCCACAGAAGAAAUUAAGAUUAACAAAAAACACUUUGAAGAAGCGUUUAAGAAAGUGAAAUCUUCUAUUUCAAAACAGGACCAAGUAAUGUAUGAAGAGAUGUGCCUCUCACUAAGGAGGUGACAGCUACAUGACCACAAGGACUACAAAGACUUGGACCCAGUUCCACUUGAUCCCCACUUUAAAUUUUCCCCUGAACAUCUGAUCAUGGACAAUUUCAUCAUUUGACUUUUGAUGUAGCAAGAUAUUUAAGAAACCCUAUCAGUGGUCUGCUUAUGAAAUGAGCAGAAAGAAGACAUAACAAACAUUUACCUUCAUGGACUUGUGGCUUUAGCCUAACCUCUACAACAUAAAGAAGGAAGCAGGACAUCAGGCAGUGGAAACCAGCAGCCUUCCCAUUCCUUUCCAGAAAGAUGGGCAGGAAGACCUGGCUGAUGAGUCCAACUGAAUCCACGUAACAGAACCCCAGCAGAAGGUGCAUUGCAACUGAAAAGAGAGGCACUCAUUGUGGAAUUGUUUUGUCCAAAAUGAAGAAUCUAAAUCCUGUUGUUUACAGUGGACAAAUUAAGUAUGUAAUUAGGUUUUCUCUGCUGUGAUCUGUGGGACAUAGAAGUGCUUAACUUUGGUUGGAUUGUUCCUCAUUUUCACCAUGUCCACUGAUUUCUGGAUGAAGUGUGUCAUUGUGCUGUAUGUAUCCAUUAAUGUGCGUAUUGCAGCCUUUCUGUGGAUGGACUGCAUGUAUGUACUAAUCUUCAGUCAGGUGCUGUAUGUGCCUCCUUACUCAUCAGUUCCUAUUCCCUACCUGUAGCUCAUGGCGGUUUGUUGAGGUACUUUAGUUUCACACAUUUUAUCAACUAUUUUAUAAUGUAGUAACUUCCAUAAUUGCUCUUAGUUUUAAUGAAGUAGUUCUUACAAACCUCAGUGUGGUGGCAAACCUGUGCCUAUUUAACUCCCUUGGUUGAAUGUUUUUCAAUGGAAAGAAACAUUUAAUUGCAUGUAGAAAACAGAUUCUGGAAAAAGGCAUAUAGCCUAGCAUGUAUCCCUGAUGUGCUAGUUUUCUUCAUGUAGGGGUUAGGUACUGUUGGAGGAAACCAUUCUGUCCUGUUGUAUGAAGUGGGACUGUAAAGACUUAUUCAUUGUUUCGAAAUUAAGCCACCAUUAGACAGGAAGUAGUGACCUAUUGCUUCAUUAGUUACAUAAAAUAUAAAAAAUAAUAAAUAUAUUGUUUAGGGGCAAUAAACUUUUGUAUGUCAGAUGCUGAAGACAAAAGAUGAAUACCUUUAAUACCUUUGGAGUAUCUGCUUGCCUACUGUUCCAUAUUUAUACUUUCGUAUCUGUGCCUGAAAAUAGCAUGAAAACCAAUCUAAGCCUGGAGGUUUGUUUGCCGGAACUGACCCAUCUGACUUUAGCCAGUAAGAACUGUAGAGCAUACCAAACUGACUUAUCCAUGGCAACAUGGUGUUAUGAUUCUAGAAGGCUUAGCUUGAAAAUGAAUAGAGAAGGAAUAUACGCUUCAGCAACAGGCACUGAAGGACUCUGGAAGAAUUCAGUAUAGUUGGCCUGUGAAUUAAAACUUCACUGCUCAGAGACUACUUCAAAAGAAAAAUAAUUAAUGAUUGCAAAUCCUCUGUGUGUAUUUCGUAUUGGUGCCCCAAAUACAUCUACAAAAUUUCUAUUUCAGAUUGCAAACACAAGGGUCUCUGAAAAUGUUCUUCAUUUUAAAUUCAUAUAUAAGAUAUUUGAAAUGUAUAUUUGGCUUUGUAAACCUGCUCUUAAAGUCAUGUAAUUGUAAUGUCAUCAAGUGAAAGCAUUCUGUCAUUAAAACCUAUUUUCACACUGUAGAGCAAACUGGGCCAAGAUUGAAUUUCAGUAGUUCUGAUUUGUAUUUGAUGUUACAGAUGUUUUUAUAAAAUCUGUGUAGACAACGUCCAUGCCCUAAUAGAAUAAAGUUUUUGUUUGGGUGGUUUC